GCUUUCCUGUGAAGGAAAGGGAAAAAUGCUUCAGUACAACAGUACUGCAAUUAACUACACCUAGCACAUUGGCUCAUCAUCAUGGUCAACUCUUAAGACAAAAUUUUGCAAUUAGCACGACUGAAAGCAGAAAUUUAAGGCAAGCUCUGUACAGAAAUAGGAAACUAUCAGUGCAAAGCACAGACGGAAGAACUAGUAACAGAUUUGCCAGGCCCAUCAGAGUGCAAACAAACAAGGUUUUCUCCAUGUGGAUGAGGCUGCCUUAUGAUUGAUCCAGCUCUCCUGCACACAAGUGAUUUUUUUCCCUUGAGCAGAAGCAAAAACUAUUCUGUGGUACCUCUGGAUGCAUAAGAUACACAACCAAUGAACAAACCCAGCUUUGGGCUAAGAUGGAGACUCUGGAGAAAAAAAUAAAGUGGAGUAUGAAGUCUUUAACACUCUCAGAAAUCCAGCUAUUGUGUAUUGCUUCUAGUUUGCUGCCUCAAAUUCAUACUCUUGUGGCAUUUAAAGUAAUUCUUCCCUCCAGCAGAAGGCAAUUCUUAGGGCCUGUACUGGCAGAGUUUUCUAACCUGCUGUCUACAGACUGUGGACCAGUCAGAUACCUGUGGACUACAGUCCACAGUUAUGCUUUACAUCAACCUACAGAUGUGAAAUUCCAAAAGCAGUUCACUGACAAGCUGUGGAAAAUGUCCAGGGGAUAUGGCCUCUUUUGAUUUGAAGAUCACUUGUGCUUUCAAUAAAGUGAAAAAUCACAAGACUUUUAGCUUCCUGAAAUCUGGAUACACCUGUGAAAUAAUGCUGAUCUUGUCUGUUUUUUCCCCUUCUCCUCCUCCUCCUCUCUCUCAGGAUUUGAAGCUAAUUCUUUGGAGGUGUGUGUUGCCCUUGAAAUCGAGAAUCAAAAAAUGCCCCUCAUUACUGGGCACAAGGCCAGGAUUAUGUAACUAAACCCAGGAAAUAAAACAAUAUGUUAUUUCUCAAGCAACGAGAGCAAAAUUAGCAAAGCUUUAUUUCCUCCACAUUUGUGCAUUUUAGCUUUACCCUGCCCUCCUGUUUCUUAUCCCAGUACUCUCUUCCUGACUCCCAAACAUCUCUCCUACUCUCCACCUCCCCCGCUCCCACUCAACACACACAACCACCUGGACUGGGGUUGUGCUGCUGCUUUUCCCCUCAAUGCCUACAUUAAUUUGUGCCAACAACUCAUUUCUUUGAAGUUUCCAGGAACUUUUUAUCUUGAAUCUAUUUCAGGUCUUGGAGCCUGUUGGUCAGUUGCAGUAAAGUUUUAUAGAAAUAGAUGGGGGUGGCAUAAUCAUAUUUUCUUAGAAAUCACAUUUUUAUAGACAAAGACAAGGUAUGCAACAUAGAAGAUUUAGACUACAGGAGACAAAGCCAAUGGUUCCUGCUUUGGAAGCCCUGCAGUGAAAGAAAUGCAGUCUGCACAGUGGGGAUGUUUUUGGUUCUUCCUGCUCAGUACUUUACUAUCAAAAAACAGAAAAUGCCAAAGCUAUUUUAUUACUAUUUAAACGAUGUUUCAAGAUGCAUUUUUUCUCCCUUGAAGGGCUGAGGAGUUAUACCAACUUCAUUUACCAGGCUGCAUUACUUAACUAAUCCUACAGUUUUAAGUCAGAGGAACAACAUAUUCUGCACAGGAAGAGCCCAUUCAGAAGAGACCUGCCUCAGAAAUCCCCAAACUCAAACCAAACCACUGAAAGCACUGAGAAAACAGCAAUUUAACACUUCUAUAUCUGUGCCUUGCAUCACACACAACCUGAUGUCACAUCCUUGCAGCACAAACCCACCCUGUGCAGACAAAAACCUCAGCUGGCUGCAGCUGCACCAGUGAGGAACAGCAGCAAAGGCUUCAGGCAGCUCAUGCACAUCAUCCAGGACUGUGACCUGCUCUCGUGACAUUGUCACUGGGACAACUGAGGGUGGACAGAAAGCAAAGUGACAGUUGUUUAGGACAGGGUGGCACAUUCAAGGUGUAUUUCCACGGAACUCACUUUUUGACCAGCUUGUACAGACGCUUUCUGUUCCGGGAAGGUGUGUUUUUCUUGCUCGCCGAUUCAAAGAGUUUGUCAGCAACAGCCUUGUAAUCAAACUGUCAGAAGGGAAGUACAAGUUUAUUUGUGCAAGAUAACCCAAUGCAACUCAUGUUACCAACACCUCAAGUAUUGAGUUCAGCCACUUCUUUUAAACCCAAAAUAUUUUUCUCUGUUGAAGUUUACGCCCCCUUCACACAUAUAUACUGACUUUUCCAGAUGGUUGCUUCAUUAACAGAACAGCUGAACUCAGUAUCACUGUCUCAGAUAUUCUUCACCUUAUUUCUUGCUCAACCUACUUCAAAACUCCCAUAAAUAUUUAGCUAAAUGUCA